rnacentral:rRNA from 1 species
CCUACGGGAGGCAGCAGUGAGGAAUAUUGGUCAAUGGGCGCGAGCCUGAACCAGCCAAGUCGCGUGAGGGAAGACGGCCCUAUGGGUUGUAAACCUCUUUUGCCGGGGAGCAACGGGCGCCACGUGUGGCGCCACUGAGAGUACCCGGAGAAAAAGCAUCGGCUAACUCCGUGCCAGCAGCCGCGGUAAUAGGGGGGAUGCGAGGGUUAUCCGGAUUUAUUGGGUUUAAAGGAGUCGUAGGCGGAGCGUUAAGUCAGUGGUCAAAUGGAGGGGGUAAACCCCGUACCGCCAUUGAAACUGGCGCUCUUGAGUGGAAGAGAAGUAUGCGGAAUGCGUGGUGUAGCGGUGAAAUGCAUAGAUAUCACGCAGAACCCCGAUUGCGAAGGCAGCAUGCCGGCUUCCGACUGACGCUGAAGCACGAAAGCGUGGGUAUCAAACAGGAUUAGAUACCCUUGUAGUC